UCGUCGACGACCGUGGGGGAGAUGAAGUGCACAUGGGCGUCGAUGGCGCCGGCGGUGACGAUCUUGCCGUUGCCGGCGAUGAUCUCGGUCUCGGGGCCGAUGACGAGGGCGGGGUGCACCCCGUCCAUGGUGUCGGGGUUGCCGGCCUUGCCGAUGCCGCAGAUGCGGCCGUCGCGGAUGCCGAGGUCGGCCUUGGUGAUGCCCCAGUGGUCGAGAAUCACGGCUCCGGUGAUCACGGUGUCGGGUGCGCCUUCGGCCCGGGUGGUGCGGGCCUGGCCCAUGGACUCGCGG
rfam:Streptomyces sp. NRRL F-4428 contig5.3, whole genome shotgun sequence.